UGCCUUCUCAGAGAGAGGAAACUGGUGUU
rnacentral:piRNA from 1 species